CUGUCUCUCUCUCUCUCUCUCUCGACCCUAACACUUCAGCCCUGUCUCUCUCUCCACCAUGACCCUAACACUUCAGCCCUCUCUCUCUCUCUCUCCACCAUGACCCUAACACUUCAGCCCUCUCUCUCUCUCUCUCCACCAUGACCCUAACACUUCAGCCCUGUCUCUCUCUCUCUCUCGACCCUAACACUUCAGCCGUCUCUCUCUCUCUCGACCCUAACACUUCAGCCCUGUCUCUCUCUCUCUCUCUCUCGACCCUAACACUUCAGCCCUGUCUCUCUCUCCACCAUGACCCUAACACUUCAGCCCUGUCUCUCUCUCUCUCCACCAUGACCCUAACACUUCAGCCCUGUCUCUCUCUCUCUCUCCACCAUGACCCUAACACUUCAGCCCUGUCUCUCUCUCUCUCCACCAUGACCCUAACACUUCAGCCCUGUCUCUCUCUCUCUCCACCAUGACCCUAACACUUCAGCCCUGUCUCUCUCUCUCUCCACCAUGACCCUAACACUUCAGCCCUGUCUCUCUCUCUCCACCAUGACCCUAACACUUCAGCCCUGUCUCUCUCUCCCUCUCUCGACCCUAACACUUCAGCCCUGUCUCUCUCUACACCAUGACCCUAACACUUCAGCCCUGUCUCUCUCUCCACCAUGACCCUAACACUUCAGCUCUCUCUCUCUCUCCACCAUGACCCUAACACUUCAGCUCUCUCUCUCUCUCUCCACCAUGACCCUAACACUUCAGCCCUGUCUCUCUCUCUCUCCACCAUGACCCUAACACUUCAGCCCUGUCUCUCUCUCUCUCUCUCUCUCUCUCGACCCUAACACUUCAGCCCUGUCUCUCUCUCUCUCUCUCGACCCUAACAUUUCAGCCCUGUCUCUCUCUCUCUCUCUCUCGACCCUAACACUUCAGCCCUGUCUCUCUCUCCACCAUGACCCUAACACUUCAGCCCUGUCUCUCUCUCUCUCUCUCUCCACCAUGACCCUAACACUUCAGCCCUGUCUCUCUCUCUCUCUCCACCAUGACCCUAACACUUCAGCCCUGUCUCUCUCUCUCUCCACCAUGACCCUAACACUUCAGCCCUGUCUCUCUCUCUCUCUCUCUCUCUCUCGACCCUAACACUUCAGCUCUCUCUCUCUCCACCAUGACCCUAACACUUCAGCCCUGUCUCUCUCUCUCUCCACCAUGACCCUAACACUUCAGCCCUGUCUCUCUCUCUCUCUCUCUCUCUCUCUCUCGACCCUAACACUUCAGCCCUGUCUCUCUCUCUCUCUCUCGACCCUAACACUUCAGCCCUGUCUCUCUCUCUCUCUCUCUCUCGACCCUAACACUUCAGCCCUGUCUCUCUCUCCACCAUGACCCUAACACUUCAGCCCUGUCUCUCUCUCUCUCUCUC
rnacentral:lncRNA from 1 species